GAUGGACGCUGGCGGCGUGCCUAAUACAUGCAAGUCGAGCGAACAGACGAGGAGCUUGCUCCUCUGACGUUAGCGGCGGACGGGUGAGUAACACGUGGAUAACCUACCCAUCAGACUGGGAUAACUUCGGGAAACCGGAGCUAAUACCGGAUAAUAUAUUGAACCGCAUGGUUCAAUAGUGAAAGACGGUUUUGCUGUCACUUAUAGAUGGAUCCGCGCCGCAUUAGCUAGUUGGUAAGGUAACGGCUUACCAAGGCGACGAUGCGUAGCCGACCUGAGAGGGUGAUCGGCCACACUGGAACUGAGACACGGUCCAGACUCCUACGGGGGGCAGCAGUAGGGAAUCUUCCGCAAUGGGCGAAAGCCUGACGGAGCAACGCCGCGUGAGUGAUGAAGGUCUUCGGAUCGUAAAACUCUGUUAUUAGGGAAGAACAAAUGUGUAAGUAACUAUGCACGUCUUGACGGUACCUAAUCAGAAAGCCACGGCUAACUACGUG
rnacentral:rRNA from 1 species